ACCCAUAAAUUCAGCAUAUACCCAUUUUCUCUCUCCUCUAACCUCUCACCAUCUUCUCUCUCAUCAACUCCAUUUUCUCUCUCCAUUUUUUUUACUGAUAUGGCAAAUCACCGGCGGCGCCACCACCACCUCCAUCAUAAUAUCACCAGCUACAUUGAUUUUCUCGGUGGUUUCUCCCAGCAAUUACCUCCAUCGUCGGCGUUAUGUUUCUAUGUUUCUUCGUCCUUUCCUUUUUCGCUCCUCGUCCUUCUCGCCUCCUUCACCGUGGUCGCACUCGCAGCUAGCUCAUCCUCCUCAUCUGUCAGAUGUUCUUGAGCUUCUGGAGCUGAUUCAUCGUCGGCGAUUUAUAAAUCUCAUAGAUGCGUGAAUUACCUCAGGAAGCACAAUUUUAGUUUUGUAAAGAAGCCAAAAAAGAUGAUGCAGAGGAUGCAAUGAUCUAAUUUUGUGUUCAGUUGCUUUAUGGUUCGUGCUCAAGUACACAUGGAAGGUAAAUGUUAAUAAGAAUGCGGCAACGAAAGAAAAAAAAUUGAUUUAGAAAUGGAAGAUAUGGUAUGAAGAGAUGUUGUAAGAAUUGAAGAAGAAUUGAAGGCAGAAGCAACAAGAAAAGAAUCUGGAAAUAAGGUCGCAGAUAGAAAGAGAAAAGAGACCGAUGUACAUAAAAAGUGAAAGCCGAAAGGAAGGAAGCAGAAAAAUUAGAAGCAUAUAGAAAGAGAAAAUUGGAAGUAGAAGUAAAUAAAUGAAAUGUUCAUUUUUUAAACAUGAAUGUUCAUUUGUGUGUUUUUUAUGUGUGCUUCUUGUAUCUUACUCAAAUGUUCAAAUUUUUUUUUAGGAAAACAAGUGUGAUAAAAAAAAGUUUUUUUAAAAGAAAAAUUCAAAAUUCAAAAAAAAAAAAAAAGAGGACACAAAAUAAUGAACUAAAAAAAGAAAGGAGAAAUCACACAAAACUGCUAAAACGAAAUAUUUGUAGCUCAUAUGCAUGCAGAAUUGCAUGCAUAGGU